GACGUCAGCAUGGCCGCGGCGCCUGACUACCCAGCUCGCUUCUAUCCCUCGAGCGGCAGGAAUCCGUCCCCACGCCCUUUUCCUUUAAAGGGCAACGGGCCGAAGGUGGGGCGGGCGGCGCGGCUCCCGCGAUCCAUUCAGGUCAAAAGGGAGAGUGAUCAAACAGGAGAGCCGAGGGGACCUAUAUUCAGAGACUUAACUGGACACCUGGACAGACCAUUACAACUUGGGACUUUUCAGGAGAAUGAGGGAAAUAUAGUUAUUGCACCUGAGCCUCACUCCAGCUCUGAGGUCCUCUUCACUUCUCUUUGGAAGAAAAUUGGAUAUCUUUUCCUAGUUGAAAGAGUAGAGAUCUGAUUUCUCCAAGGAUCAUCGCUUUUUGACACGGGAUUAUUAGAAGCAUUCAUUCAUCUAUCAAGGAGUUUUGGGAUACUUGCCAUAAGCCAAGCCCUCUGAUAGGUGCUGGAAACAUCAAGCUCUGUGCCCAGGAAGUUCAUCCUUGGACUCCACGCAUGAACGACUUUGCUGUCUUCCCAUUGGAUUCAGCCAGUCCGCGGUCCUGGAAGAGGAAAUACUUUCCCAGACAAAUAAAAGCUGAGGAAUAUCAUCAACAUCAGACCUGUCUUACAAAAAAUGCUAAAGGGAGUUCUUCAAUCCAAAAGAAAAAGAUGUUAAUGAGCAAAAAUAAAUCAUCUGAAGGUGCAAAACUUGCUGGUAAUUGUAAGUACAAAGAAAACACAGAAUAUUAUAACACUGUGACUUACAUGCUGUGGUGUGUAAACUACUCAUAUGUUAAGUAAAAAGACUAAAAUAUAAAUCAAUUAAAAUAAUAAUUGCAACAACUUUUCAAGACAUAGGCAGUACAAUAAGAUACAAAUAGGAACAACAAAAUGUUAAAAAGCAGAUUGACACAGUUAAGGUGUAAAGGUUUUAUUAGUUUUCCCUUUGCUUCUUUGUUUAUGCAAUCAGUGUUUAGUUGUCAUCAGUUUAAAAUAAUGGUUAUAAGAUAUUAUUUGCAAAUCUCAUGGUGACCUCAAAUCAAAAACAUACAACGGAUACAUGAAAAAUAAAAAGGAAGAAAUUAAAACAUACCACUGGAGAAAAUCACCUUUACUAACAGAAAGACAGGAAGGAAGGAAAGAAGGAAGAGAAGACCACAAAACAACCAGAAAACUCACAAUAAAAUGGCAGGAUUAAGUCUUUAUUUAUCAACAAUAACAUUGAAUGUAAGUGGAUUAAACUCUCUGAUCAAAAGACAUAGAGUGGCUAAAUGUAUAACAAAACAAGACUCAAUAAUCUGUGGCCUACAAGAAACACACUUCACCUAUAAAAACACAUAUAGAUUAAAAAUAAAGGGAUAGAGAAAGAUAUUCCAUGGAAACAGAAA
rnacentral:antisense_RNA from 1 species